AAAGGGAGACCUAAUUCCGGUAGGAGACGAAAAAAAAGUAGUCCCAACCAAGAAUCAAUCCCAAAAGGUCGGAGCGAGGCGAAAUUGGCUUUCAAACUAGGUUCUGGGUUCACACAAGACCUGAAUCAGGAACAAGGGCUAUUAGCUCAGGUGGUUAGAGCGCACCCCUGAUAAGGGUGAGGUCCCUGGUUCGAGUCCAGGAUGGCCCACCUGUACAGGUGGCAAAAAGAAAGAAAAGAAGCGAGGAAUCAGCACCUUAUCUUAUUUAUAUAGUAAGAGAGAAUGCUGGCUCUGAGUAAAGAGUCCAGAGGAACCUUGAAAACUGCAUAGAGCUAGGUGAAAAAGCCAAAAAAGAAGACCGCAAG
rnacentral:tRNA from 1 species